rnacentral:rRNA from 1 species
AUUGAACGCUGGCGGCAUGCCUUACACAUGCAAGUCGAACGGCAGCAUGAUCUAGCUUGCUAGAUUGAUGGCGAGUGGCGAACGUGUGAGUAAUACAUCGGAACGUGCCCUGUAGUGGGGGAUAACUAGUCGAAAGAUUAGCUAAUACCGCAUACGACCUGAGGGUGAAAGUGGGGGACCGCAAGGCCUCAUGCUAUAGGAGCGGCCGAUGUCUGAUUAGCUAGUUGGUGAGGUAAAGGCUCACCAAGGCGACGAUCAGUAGCUGGUCUGAGAGGACGAUCAGCCACACUGGGACUGAGACACGGCCCAGACUCCUACGGGAGGCAGCAGUGGGGAAUUUUGGACAAUGGGGGCAACCCUGAUCCAGCAAUGCCGCGUGUGUGAAGAAGGCCUUCGGGUUGUAAAGCACUUUUGUCCGGAAAGAAAUCGCACUUACUAAUAUUAGGUGUGGAUGACGGUACCGGAAGAAUAAGGACCGGCUAACUACGUGCCAGCAGCCGCCGUAAAAC